rnacentral:rRNA from 1 species
CACUCCUGCGGGAGGCAGCAGUGGGGAAUAUUGGACAAUGGGCGCAAGCCUGAUCCAGCCAUGCCGCGUGAGUGAUGAAGGCCCUAGGGUUGUAAAGCUCUUUCACCGGUGAAGAUAAUGACGGUAACCGGAGAAGAAGCCCCGACUAACUUCGUGCCAGCAGCCGCGGUAAUACGAAGGGGGCUAGCGUUGUUCGGAUUUACUGGGCGUAAAGCGCACGUAGGCGGACUAUUAAGUCAGGGGUGAAAUCCCGGGGCUCAACCCCGGAACUGCCUUUGAUACUGGUAGUCUUGAGUUCGAGAGAGGUGAGUGGAAUUCCGAGUGUAGAGGUGAAAUUCGUAGAUAUUCGGAGGAACACCAGUGGCGAAGGCGGCUCACUGGCUCGAUACUGACGCUGAGGUGCGAAAGCGUGGGGAGCAAACAGGAUUAGAUACCCCUGUAGUCCCAUGA